GAUGAACGCUGGCGGCGUGCCUAAUACAUGCAAGUCGAGCGAACAGACGAGGAGCUUGCUCCUCUGACGUUAGCGGCGGACGGGUGAGUAACACGUGGAUAACCUACCUAUAAGACUGGGAUAACUUCGGGAAACCGGAGCUAAUACCGGAUCAUAUAUUGAACCGCAUGGUUCAAUAGUGAAAGACGGUUUUGCUGUCACUUAUAGAUGGAUCCGCGCCGCAUUAGCUAGUUGGUAAGGUAACGGCUUACCAAGGCAACGAUGCGUAGCCGACCUGAGAGGGUGAUCAGCCACACUGGAACUGAGACACGGUCCAGACUCCUACGGGAGGCAGCAGUAGGGAAUCUUCCGCAAUGGGCGAAAGCUUGACGGAGCAACGCCGCGUGAGUGAUGAAGGUCUUCGGAUCGUAAAGCUCUGUUAUUAGGGAAGAACAAAUGUGUAAGUAACUAUGCACGUCUUGACGGUACCUAAUCAGAAAGCCACGGCUAACUACGUG
rnacentral:rRNA from 1 species